GCUCAGAAGUACAACAUCCUGCCUCCUUUUGAGGCUUUCUUUUUGUCCCUUUUUAUUUUUUUCUCUAAUAUCACUUAAUUUAAAUUUUUUUUAUCAUUUCAUUCAUUGUAUGAAAUAAGUUUAUUGUGUAUUUUUAUAUUGUAACGGCAAACAAAAACAAAUAAAAAAAAAAAAAAAAAGGAGCUAGCUCCUACCUUGGAGCCUAAUUUUAGCUCCAGCCUGGGAGCCCGAUUCGGAGCUGACUCCGGACCCCUGUGUAGGGCCUUGUCUCCACGAGCCGUUUCGCGAGAUUUGUCCCAGGGAAAAAUCCCACUCACAAAGUUGGGAAAAAUAUUGAGUUAAUCAAUAUUUUUCCCAGUACCAAGUAUGGUACUUGUACCCCUCAGGUUAUAUCUUGUGCGUUGUGAGAAGUUUGGAUAUUCAAGUAGCUAUGUGUGCCAGAGUCAAAAUGUUUCCUUCUGUCACGAGUAAUACUCUAGAAAUUAUGAAUUUCUGUUACGAGGAAGAAAAGCGAAAGAACGCAGCGCUUCUCAAUGAGAUAUCUAGGCUACAACUAGAAGUUAUUAAAUUGCGUUUGGAAUCCCGCCAGCUCAGAAAUGUCCAAUCCCAAAAGGGAAGAGGAAUUCUUCGAUGGCUAAGAAACCUUUUUUAGGUGAGAAAUAAUCUGUUUCAAAACAAAUAAAUUUAGAUAAUCAAACCUUGUGUAUAAAAUGUAUUUUCGCAUUAGUUGUUUGAAAGAUUUU
rnacentral:lncRNA from 1 species